rnacentral:tRNA from 1 species
UAUCUUUCAGCCGAAGGGAAGGUUAUACAGCUUUACUUUCAUUAUAAGUAGCUAAUAUCAGUUCGAUUCUGAUGAAGAUAA